AGAGUUUGAUCCUGGCUCAGAACGAACGCUGGCGGCGUGGAUAAGACAUGCAAGUCGAGCGAUCAUCAGUUGGUAGCAAUAUCGGCUGGUGGGAGCGGCGCAAGGGUGCGUAACACGUGGGCAAUCUGCCGUGAAGUUUGGGAUAAUCCCGCGAAAGCGGGACUAAUACCGGAUGUGACAACUGGGAGGCAUUUUCUGGUUGUUAAAGUUGGGGACCGAAAGGCCUGACGCUUCACGAUGAGCCCGCGGCCUAUCAGGUAGUUGGCGGGGUAACGGCCCACCAAGCCUAAGACGGGUAGCUGGUCUGAGAGGACGACCAGCCACACUGGAACUGAGACACGGUCCAGACACCUACGGGUGGCAGCAGUCGAGAAUUUUUCACAAUGGGGGAAACCCUGAUGGAGCGACGCCGCGUGGGGGAUGAAUGGCUUCGGCCCGUAAACCCCUGUCAUUUGCGAUCAACCGUUAUUAUUUAAAAGAUGAUGACCUGAUAGUAGCGAAAGAGGAAGGGACGGCUAACUCUGUGCCAGCAGCCGCGGUAAUACAGAGGUCCCGAGCGUUGUUCGGAUUCACUGGGCGUAAAGGGUGCGUAGGUGGUGAGGUGUGUCGGAUGUGAAAUCCCGGAGCUCAACUCCGAAACUGCAUUGGAAACUACCUUGCUGGAGGGUUGGAGGGGGGACUGGAAUGCUUGGUGUAGCAGUGAAAUGCGUAGAUAUCAAGCGGAACACCAGUGGCGAAGGCGAGUCCCUGGACAACUCCUGACACUGAGGCACGAAAGCUAGGGGAGCAAACAGGAUUAGAUACCCUGGUAGUCCUAGCCGUAAAACGGUGCACGUUUGCUGUAAAAGGAAUCGACCCCUUUUGUGGCGUAGCCAACGCGUUAAACGUGCCGCCUGGGAAGUACGGUCGCAAGAUUAAAACUCAAAUGAAUUGACGG
rnacentral:rRNA from 1 species